AACGCGAAGAACCUUACCUCGGCUUGACAUGCACGUGGUACUGACCUGUAAGGGAAGGGACCCGCAAGGGAGCGUGCACAGAUGCUGCAUGGCUGUCGUCAGCUCGUGCCGUGAGGUGUUGGGUUAAGUCCCGCAACGAGCGCAACCCUUGUCCUUAGUUGAAAUCUCUAGGGAGACCGCCGGUCUAAACCGGAGGAAGGUGGGGAUGACGUCAAGUCAGCACGGCUCUUACGUCGAGGGCUACACACACGCUACAAUGGCCGGUACAAUGGGCUGCGAAGGGGCGACCUGGAGCUAAUCCCACCAAAGCCGGUCUCAGUUCGGAUCGCAGGCUGCAACUCGCCUGCGUGAAGUCGGAGUUGCUAGUAACUGCUGGUCAGCACACAGCAGUGAAUACGUUCCCGGGCCUUGUA
rnacentral:rRNA from 1 species